rnacentral:rRNA from 1 species
GACGAACGCUGGCGGCGUGCUUAACACAUGCAAGUCGAACGGAAAGGCCCUGCUUUUGUGGGGUGCUCGAGUGGCGAACGGGUGAGUAACACGCGAGUAACCUGCCCUUGACUUUGGGAUAACUUCAGGAAACUGGGGCUAAUACCGGAUAGGAGCUCCUGCUGCAUGGUGGGGGUUGGAAAGUUUCGGCGGUUGGGGAUGGACUCGCGGCUUAUCAGCUUGUUGGUGGGGUAGUGGCUUACCAAGGCUUUGACGGGUAGCCGGCCUGAGAGGGUGACCGGCCACGUUGGGACUGAGAUACGGCCCAGACGCCUACGGGAGGCAGCAGUGGGGAAUAUUGCGCAAUGGGCGGAAGCCUGAUACAGCAACGCCGCGUGCGGGAUGACGGCCUUCGGGUUGUAAACCGCUUUCGCCUGUAACGAAGCGUGAGUGACGGUAAUGGGUAAAGAAGCACCGGCUAACUACGUG